UACGUAGGUGGCAAGCGUUGUCCGGAUUCACUGGGUUUAAAGGGUGCGUAGGCGGAUUGGUAAGUCCGUGGUGAAAUCCCCGAGCUUAACUUGGGAACUGCCGUGGAUACUAUCAGUCUUGAAUAUCGUGGAGGUAAGCGGAAUAUGUCAUGUAGCGGUGAAAUGCUUAGAUAUGACAUAGAACACCAAUUGCGUAGGCAGCUUACUACUCGAUCAUUGACGCUGAGGCACGAAAGCGUGGGGAGCAAACAGG
rnacentral:rRNA from 1 species